AAUUCAUGUUAUGGGCACUUCCUUAAAAUCAACUUAAAUAGUUCUCAUGCUUCGUAUAGGGAUUCACCUUUAUAUUGCAUAAGGUUAGUGAUUUCUCACUUAAGCUU
rfam:Gossypium arboreum cultivar AKA8401 contig_28688_7, whole genome shotgun sequence.